rnacentral:rRNA from 1 species
AUGGCAGCAUCGCCGCCGCGCCGCCGCGCCUCGCCGCCGUCGAUCCCGGACGAGCUAUUCGAAGAGAUCCUCCUCCGCCUCCCACCCGACGACCCCGCCUGCCUCCUCCGCGCCUCCCUCGUCUGCAAGGCCUGGAGCCACACCGUCUCCAGCCCCAGAUUCCGCCGCCGCCUCCACGAGCUCCACCCCACACCCCCCGUGCUCGGCGUCCUCCACAACUGGGAAUACGACGCCAUCCCCCGAUUCAUCCACACCACCGCAUCGUCCUUCUCCCUCGCCGCCCCGGACUCUCGCUCCUGGCGUGCCCUUGACUACCGCCACGGCCGCGCCCUCUUCCUCUCCAAGGGCCAGGACGCCGAGGAGCUCCUUGUGUGGGGGCCAAUCACGGGCGCCCAGCAGCGCGUACCGGUGCCCGCGGCGUUCCAGGGCGACUACCCGACGGCUGCCGUGUUCUGCGCAAUGGACGGGUGCGGCCACCGCGACUGCUUCGGGGGCCCUUUUCGGGUGGUCUUCGUCUUCUGUGUCGAUGAAGAAGACGCUGAGCUGGAUCCGUUUCUCACGUCGGCCGCCGUGUACUCGUCGGAGACCGGCAUGUGGGGCGAGCUGACCUCGAUGCACGAACAACGUCGUCAUGGUUGGGCCCGGAGGUGA